GACAGCAGCAGCCACGGGAAUACAGAGGGUGCGAGCGUUAAUCGGAUUUACUGGGCGUAAAGCGUGCGUAGGCGGCUAAUUGAGUCGGAUGUGAAAUCCCCGAGCUUAACUUGGGAAUUGCAUUCGAUACUGGUUAGCUAGAGUGUGGGAGAGGAUGGUAGAAUUCCAGGUGUAGCGGUGAAAUGCGUAGAGAUCUGGAGGAAUACCGAUGGCGAAGGCAGCCAUCUGGCCUAACACUGACGCUGAGGUACGAAAGCAUGGGGAGCAAACAGGAUUAGAUACCCGAGUAGUCCCUGUCUCUUAUAA
rnacentral:rRNA from 1 species